rnacentral:rRNA from 1 species
UACGUAGGGGGCGAGCGUUAUCCAGAUUUACUGGGCGUAAAGCGCGUGUAGGCGGCUGGUUAAGCGUGAUGUGAAAUCUUCGGGCUCAACCCGAAAACUGCAUUGCGAACUGGCCUGGCUAGAGUGCAGGAGAGGGAAGCGGAAUUCCUGGUGUAGCGGUGAAAUGCGUAGAGAUCAGGAGGAACACCCGUGGCGAAGGCGGCACUCUGGGUCGGCCCUGACGCUGAGGCGCGAAAGCGUGGGGAGCGAACGGG